rnacentral:tRNA from 1 species
AAGGGAGACCUAAUUCAGGUAUGGGACGAAAAAAAAGUAGUCGCUACCAAGAAUCAAUCCCAAAAGGUCGGAGCGAGGUAUGAGGCCUUCAAACUAGGUUCUGGGUUCAAACAAGACCUGAAUCAGGAACAAGGGCUAUUAGCUCAGGUGGUUAGAGCGCACCCCUGAUAAGGGUGAGGUCCCUGGUUCGAGUCCAGGAUGGCCCACCUGCACAGGUGGCAAAAACAAGAGAAGCUCCGAAUCAGCACCUUAUCUUAUCUAUAUAUAAGAGAGAAUGCUGGCUCUGAGUACAGAGUCCAGAGGAACCUUGAAAACUGCAUAGAGCUAGGUGAAAAAGCCAAAAAAGAAGACCGCAA